rnacentral:lncRNA from 1 species
GUUUGAUUUAAUAGUUAUCAUCCUGUGUGGAAUGAAGUGGAGUGACUAGAGAAAAGCUUGUGUGGAAUUGACACCAUAACAAUUUGCAUGACUGGUUUUCACAUUUAGAAAAUGAAGGAAGUAAUAGAAAUGAUGCAGAUAUGCUUUGAGCAGAAGUGAGAAGCCAGAGCUCAUCUUUAAGAAUACUCGCUAGCUGCAGGGGAUUCAGCAUAAUGAACUUCUUUGUGUAUGUGUCAGAGGAGGAGAAGAGGAAUGUUAAACCAUAAACUAAGAAAACACGGUUGUUAAGUGUUUUCUAGACAUUGACUUCGUGGG